GACGUAGGAUCCGGAGCGUUGUCCGGAGUUACUGGGCGUAAAGCGCGCGCAGGCGGACCGAUACAUCGGCGGUGAAAGCCCCCCGCUCAACGGGGAGGGUCCGUCGAGAUGGUCGGUCUGGAGGCAGGGAGAGGCCAGUGGAAUUCCGGGUGUAGUGGUGAAAUGCGUAGAGAGUCCGGAGGAACACCAGUGGCGAAGGCGGCUGGGCUGG
rnacentral:rRNA from 1 species